rnacentral:rRNA from 1 species
CUUUACUGUAGCUUUGCAUUGGACUUUGACGGGACUUGUGUAGGAUAGGUGGGAGGCGAUGAAACCGGGACGCUAGUUCCGGUGGAGCCAUCCUUGAAAUACCACCCUGGUGUCGUUGAGGUUCUAACCUAGGUCCAUCAUCUGGAUCGGGGACCGUGCAUGGUAGGCAGUUUGACUGGGGCGGUCUCCUCCCAAAAGGUAACGGAGGAGUACGAAGGUCUUCUAGGUACGGUCGGACAUCGUACUGAUAGUGCAAUGGCAAAAGAAGGCUUGACUGCGAGACCGACAAGUCGAGCAGGUGCGAAAGCAGGUCAUAGUGAUCCGGUGGUUCUGUAUGGAAGGGCCAUCGCUCAACGGAUAAAAGGUA